CAACAACAUAAUUUGGCAGUUAUACUAAUUGUAAUAAGAAGAUGCUUCUCUUAAUUUCUGUCAGAAAUAUAUUAGAUAUUACUAAAGCAAUAGUGUACUAAAUUUUAGUCAUUUGUUUGAAUAGCACAUUUUGUUUCCAGAAAAUUGGAUCGCAUAGCAAUAAUGUCAGAUACACCAUAUCAACACUGUAUAUUCAUAAAUGCAUUAAUAAAAUAAAAACACACACUCAUUUA